CUUAAAAAGCUCGUAGUCGGAUUUCUGUGGGGACGGAGCGGCCGGCCGCAACUCGCGGUUCGAGCUAGCGCUUUCCCUACAUCCUGCCGCGAACCGUGCUACCAUUAGUUUGGUGGCACCGGGGAUCGGCUCGUUUACUUUGAGAAAAAUAGAGUGUUCAAAGCAGGCCA
rnacentral:rRNA from 1 species